CUUAUAAUUGUAUUAUUCUAUAUCCUCAGCUAUGAUACAUUCUGGUAUGGGACCAACUCAUGUCAUCGAUUUUCUCAGUACCUGUAACAUUCCACCAAUUGAUACCAAGAGUCUUGUCGUAGAGCUAGAGAGGAAGAAAUGGAUGCUACAUCAGACCAAUUGGAGUGCAGUUUUGAUGCUGGAUGGCAGACCAGAGGAUCUGGCUGUCAGUACAAUAGUAGUACUGGUUAGUAAGGUCAUGGAGCCAGAUAUGGCUUCAGCAAUGUUAUAUCGGAUGAAGGAAGAUGGAUGUGAGGUUCAGACCACACAUGCUGAUAAUGAUUCCACCACUGCGGCUCGACUAAGAAAUGACUUUCCAUCCCUUCAAAAAAAGCAGGACAAGAAUCAUCUGAAAAAGAACUUGACAAAACAGCUGUAUAAACUAGCCAAAGAUCAUAAACAACUGAAACCAACUGGUACAAUUUCAUAUGUGACCAGAUGCUUUAUGUAUGCAAUCUCUUCAAAACAUAAUUCUGAAGAAGAGCUGACAUCAAAAUUGGAGAUGGUUGUCCCUCACAUGUUUGGAGACCACAGUCUUUGUGCAGAGGCCGCCUGGUGUACAUAUCAGAAAAAUCCAAAGGCAUUCAGAUUCAAGCACCUUCCAAAAGGCCAACCAUUGUCAGGUGAUCAGCUAGGAGCAGCACUGGAUAACAAAACGGAGAAUUUCAAAGACAUGGCCUCUCAGCUGCAAAAGCUUGGAUCCACACAAAGCACUGAAAACUUUAACAACAUUGUGGCAAGCAAGGCCCCAAAGAAUAGGUCAUAUGGCAGCACAGCAUCCCUAGUAGCUAGAGUCUCAGCAGCAGUCUUACAGAAGAAUGUUGAAUACACAUACAUUGAAGAGGUAAACAGAGAUAUCAUCUUGUCUCCAGGAGAAGUUUCUAAGAAGCAUGGAAUUAGCAUGGAUAAGAAGAAGUUGUGGCAUAAAAAAGCAUGCAUCGGUUUCUUUCAAAAGGAGACUCCUGUUAUUGAAGAAAAGACAGCAUUGGAGGGAGUCAGCAAAUUAUGUCAAAGAAGGGAAAACUUACGAACGAGACAUUUCAUCAGCAGAUGUAAACCCAUGUGAUAUAGAAGCUUUACC
rnacentral:sRNA from 1 species